UUGACAUUCAGGACCUAGGUACAAAUUUGGGAGACUAUAUUACAAUAUAUAUUAUUGACACUGCCCACUGGAACAAUGUACCAAUAUUUAUCUACUAUGUAUAGCAUAGUGCCCUACUAUACGAUGUGAUCAGGCAUUGGAGGCAAUUAGCUGAAUAUGUGUUUAAUCUAAGAUGUAUCAUUUAUUAAUUGAUACAGUUAGGCUUUGUGUUCCCACCCAAAUCUCAUCUUGAAUUGUAAUCCCCAUAACACCACGUGUCAAGAGAGGGACCUGGUGGAAACUGAUUGAAACAUUUGGGUGGUCCCCCUAUGCUGUUAUGAUAGUGAGUGAGUUAUGAGAUCACAUGGGUUUAUAAGUGGCAGUUUCCCCUGCUCUUCUCUCUCUCUUGCCACCUUGUGAAGAAGGUGCUUGCUUCCCCUUUGCCUUCCACCAUGAUUGUAAGAUUCCUGAGGCUUUCCCAGCUGUGUGGAAAUAAUACUUUCCAUCCAUGGUUGGUUGAAUCCACGGACACAGAACCCACAGAUAUGAAGGGUUGAGUAUACCUGAUAAUGGUAUUUCUGAGCUCUGAAAAUAUUUUGCUACUCGGAUUGAGCCUGGACACUAGAAGAAUGCUGCUCAACAAAUGUUAAACAAUAGUGGGGUUUAUCAUCUACUCUCCUCCUUGAUCUUCCACAUCUGCUCUUGUGCUGCUCGGUUUAACUUUAUAGACUAUUCUGAAAACUAAUGAUUCCUAAAGGUUAAGGUUUUUCAAUAAAUAUAAAGUCAUGAAUAUUAGUUUUCUCCUUUAUAGUUUCAUGGUCUAUAAUGAAUUUCAGUUCAAGCAUUUUUCCUUACUUAAUAACAACGAAGGUUAAGGAUGUUUAUUUCUUGUCAAGGCCUUAUUAAUAAUCAUUAUGAAGCACAAUCAAGACAUCUCAAAGGUUAGCAGUAUUGGUGAUUCUGCA
rnacentral:lncRNA from 1 species